rnacentral:lncRNA from 1 species
UUUAAGUUAAGAAUACCGAUUCUAAUUUAUGAUUUUGGUUGUCGCACUUAGCUGCAAGGAGAAUGGAAGCUCUGGUGUUUGGAAAAGGUAAGAUGAAGAGGCUACGAAGUAUUAGGUGAGUAUUUGCACUUUGUCUUCUGGAUGCUAAAUGUUGUUAAGCGAAAUUGCCAUGAUGUUUAUUGUAAUAGUAGAUGAUUUUUGAAAUGUUAUCUAGCGUGGCGUAUUGCAUAACAAUGUUUUAUAUGGUAUGCUUGGUUACUCUAUGCAUGAUACAGAGGAAACCUAACCAUGGGUUAGAAGAAGUUAAGAAUGGGAAAAAUGGUCGAUUUUGUUAAAUACCGCCAUACGAUAUUGUUGUGUGACCCGUGAUAGCAAAGCUCCAG